rnacentral:rRNA from 1 species
CAGUAGCCACGGUAAUACGUAGGGUGCGAGCGUUGUCCGGAAUUACUGGGCGUAAAGAGCUCGUAGGUGGUCUGUCGCGUCAUUUGUGAAAGCCCGGGGCUUAACUCCGGGUUGGCAGGUGAUACGGGCACGACUGGAGUACUGUAGGGGAGACUGGAAUUCCUGGUGUAGCGGUGAAAUGCGCAGAUAUCAGGAGGAACACCGGUGGCGAAGGCGGGUCUCUGGGCAGUAACUGACGCUGAGGAGCGAAAGCGUGGGGAGUGAACAGGAUUAGAUACCCCUGUAGUCCCUGUCUCUUAUA